ACAUGCCAUGUCAAUGAUCCCUGGUGCCUCAUAAAUAAAUGAAGCCAGGCCAUCGCUCUCUCUCUCUCUCUUCCGGUUCUGUGCUCUCCCUCAUCUAUCGACCUAAUCUUCCGUUCACGCCUAAUUCCAUCAUCUUCCCAACGAAAAAAUCUCUCUCUCUCUCUCCUCUCAUCACUCGGAUGACAGAGUUCACUCACCUGAGCUCAGACCUCAUCGAGCUCAUCCUCUCCUUUCUUCCUAUCCCCACUCUCAUUCGCGCCUCUACUGUCUGCAAGCUCUGGUACUCCAUUAUCUCCUCCCCUACUUUUUCCUCCGUCACCCACUCUCGCUCGCACCAUAACCAACCCUGGUUCUUCCUCUACGGUUUCCACAACAUCUCCUCCAAGAACAAUCAGUCCUUUGCCUUCGAUCCCGUCUCCAAUCGCUGGCUUCGCCUUCCCGCCUUCUCCUCCCUCCAACCCCAACAACCAUCCAUCACUUCCUUCAUGGGAACUAAUGGCUUUUUCUUCCUUACUGCUCCCAAAUUCUGCUAUUCUCGAACCCUUAAUCCUCAUUGGCGUGCCACUCCUCCGCUCCAUUUUCCCCGGACUAACCCUCUUUUGGGUGUUUUCAGUGAUGGCAGUGAUUCCUCCCCUAAGUUUAUUGUCGUCGGCGGGGUGAAGUUUAUCGGGAAUUUGGUUGAUAUUGAGGAGCGAUUGGAUUUGGAAAUUUACGAUCCUCGUUCGGACUCUUGGGAGCUUGGUCCUCCUUUGCCGGCGGAUUUUAGAUCUGGCAAUUCGUCGUCGUCGUUGUCAUCGGCGUUGUUUGGAGGCCGAUUUUACGUGCUUGGGAUAUCUUCGUGCUUUAUUUCCUCAUUUCAUUUGCGUGAACGUGUUUGGAGCGAGGUUCAGACGCUUAGGCCGCCUGGGGUUGUUUUCUCGUUCUUAAUUGCGUGCAGGGAAGUGCUUGUUUUGGCUGGUAUUCGUAACGCACCUCUUGGACCGUCCUUUCAUUUGUGGAAGGUUGAUACGAAGACGAUGGAGUUAAGUGAGAUUUCAGUGAUGCCCCAUAAUUUACUUUACAGCUUGUUUGAUAGUGAUGAGGACGACAAUUUUGCAAGUCUGAAAUGCGUGGGGUUGGGGGAUUUUGUAUAUGUUUUCAAUGAAGAUUAUCACAGGGUAUAUCCAGCUUGUCUUUGUGAGAUUGAUAGUAAGUCGGUCAGGUGCAGUUGGAGAAGAGUGCCCCAUUUGCCACUACCUGUGAACAAGUUCCACAAGGUCACUAGCUUUUGUUCAACUGUUUCACUGCAUAGUAUCUUGGGUGAACGAGGACAUCCUGCCCUUCUACAGUCUGCCUGAUUGUUCAUUCCCUACCAGGGACCACCUCAUAGGAAUUGCUGCCGUUGAUAGAGAGCCUGAGGAGUCAGAGACAUGAUUCAUGUCUUCAUAUUGGUUCCAGUGUUGUAGCUGUUGAAUCUUUGUUCUUCUAUUAGAAGGCUAGAGACAUGAAUGCAUUCAGCAGAUAAAAAAUAUGAAGCGAUUCCUUGCGUAAACGCUAAAGCAUGGGUUGGGAUAACCAUUUGUUCAAGAAUAUAUUUAUAUGGCUGCUAUACCAACCUUGUUCAAAUUCAUCAUUCUCUUCUCACAUGACCAGAAGCUCUCUUUCAACAAUAAUAGUGGAUGAAACAGCAGGCGCGUUGCCUGGUCUGUGUGGCAAAUAAAUAGUAUGUAAAUGUAAUUUGACUGUGACAAGUGAAUUAUAUUAUUUGUAUAUUACUAUGUUGUACUAUUAUGUUACAGUAUUACCGGUUCUUUUCUUUCUUUCCAAGCAACUCGGCAAGUUUAGCUAGGUGAGGGUUCUGCUUUGAACUCUUGUAAUGUUGUGAAUCUCUUCAUUGUAUGUAGAAACAUUGUGUAUCCUCACGUUUUUCGUAUCAAGCAAAUUGAUGUAUGACGGGGCCGCUCAGCUCUUUUAUAUGAUAAAAUUAGACGUUCUGUUCUGUGUA